UGUGAAGCAGAAUUCACCAAGU
rnacentral:snRNA from 1 species